rnacentral:rRNA from 1 species
UUUUGGACAAUGGGCGCAAGCCUGAUCCAGCAAUGCCGCGUGCAGGAAGAAGGCCUUCGGGUUGUAAACUGCUUUUGUCAGGGAAGAAAUCUUCUGGGCUAAUACCCCGGGAGGAUGACGGUACCUGAAGAAUAAGCACCGGCUAACUACGUGCCAGCAGCCGCGGUAAUACGUAGGGUGCGAGCGUUAAUCGGAAUUACUGGGCGUAAAGCGUGCGCAGGCGGCUUUGCAAGACAGAUGUGAAAUCCCCGGGCUCAACCUGGGAACUGCAUUUGUGACUGCAAGGCUAGAGUACGGCAGAGGGGGAUGGAAUUCCGCGUGUAGCAGUGAAAUGCGUAGAUAUGCGGAGGAACACCAAUGGCGAAGGCAAUCCCCUGGGCCUGUACUGACGCUCAUGCACGAAAGCGUGGGGAGCAAACAGG